rnacentral:rRNA from 1 species
AAACUUUCAACAACGGAUCUCUUGGCUCUCGCAUCGAUGAAGAACGCAGCGAAAUGCGAUAAGUAGUGUGAAUUGCAGAACUUUGUGAACCCAUCGAAUCUUUGAACGCAAAUUGCGCCUUCUUUCGGGAGGCAUGUCUGUUUGAGGGCACC